rnacentral:rRNA from 1 species
CAUUAAAAAAUUAAUUGUGGAAUUCAAUUUAAUUUGAAUUUAAUUUAUUAUAAAAAUUUUUAAAAAAAAUAUUUUUAGGUUUUAUUAUUAUAAAGAAAAAAUUUAUUUUAUUAUAGAUUAUUAGUAUUGAAAAAGAAAUAUUUAAAAUAGAUAUAAGAAAAAUUGAAUAUUUGUACCUUGUGUAUCAGGGCUUAUUAAUUAAAAAUAUAAGAUUAAAUUUUCUCGAUUUUAAAAGAGUUAAGAAGUUAUAGAUUUUAUUGUGAAAUAAAUAUUUAAAAUAAUUUUUUUGUAAUGAAACGUUAUUCGUUUUUAAAUAUAUCUAGUUUUUGAAGAAAAGAAUUAAAUUCUUUCUAUUUUUAAUAUUAUUUAAUUUUUUAAUUAUUUAUUGAAAAUAGAAAAUAAUUUUAGGGAUAAGCUUAAAAUUAAAAAUUUAAAAAUUAAAAAUUAUUUUAAAAAAUAUAGAAUUAAAAAUUUUUAUUGUUAAUAAUAUGUUAUAAUUAAUUUUAAAAUUUUAAUAAUUUUUAUGUGUUUUAAAUUUUUUAUUUAAAUUAUUUAUUUAAUAAAAAUUUAAAUGAAAUUAUGAUAAGAUUAGUAUAGAUAAUUUUAUUUAAUAAAAAGAUUGAUAGGUUAAAAUAAGGAAUUCGGCAAAUAUAUUUUCGCCUGUUUAUUAAAAACAUGUCCUUAUGAUUAUAAUUUUAGGUUUAACCUGCCCACUGAAUUUUUAAUGGCCGCAGUAUUUUGACUGUGCGAAGGUAGCAUAAUAAUUAGUUUUUUGAUUGAAAGCUAGAAUGAAUGGUUGGACGAGAAAUAUACUGUCUCAAUUUAAAUUUUUUUAGAAUUUUAUUUUUAAGUUAAAAAGCUUAAAUUUAAAUUAAAGACGAGAAGACCCUAUAGAGUUUAAUAAAAAUUUGUAUAAAUAAUAUAUAGAAUUUUGAUUUUUUUGUAUUUUUUUUUAUUUUAUUGGGGUGAUAAAAAAAUUUAAAGAACUUUUUUUUUAUGAAACAUUAAUAUAUGAUUAAUUGAUCCAAUAUUUUUGAUUAUAAGAUAAAAUUACCUUAGGGAUAACAGCGUAAUUUCUUUAAAGAGUUCUAAUCGAAAAAGAAGAUUGCGACCUCGAUGUUGGAUUAAAAUUAAUUUUUGGUGUAGGAGCUAAAAUAUUUAGUCUGUUCGACUAUUAAAAUUUUACAUGAUCUGAGUUUAAACCGGUGUGAGCCAGGUUGGUUUCUAUCUUAAUUAAAUAAAAAUAUUUUAGUACGAAAGGACCAAAUAUUUAUAAUAAUUAUUUUUUAUGAAUAUUAAUAAUUAUUACUUUGGCAGAAUAGUGUAAUAAAUUUAGAAUUUAUGAAUGUAAUUUAUAUUACAAGUAA